UUGACUGUGCUAAGGUAGCAUAAUAAAUUGGCUUUUAAUUGAAGUCGGGAAUGAAAGGGUGUUUGGAGUUAUUCUGUCUUAUUUUUAUUUUUUAAAAAUUACUAAUGAGGUGAAAAUUCCUCAAUGUUACUUGAUAGACGAGAAGACCCUAAGAAUUAUUACAACUACUUAAAAUAAAUUAAUAAAAGUUUUUGUUGGGGCAACAACUUUGAGGAAACCAAAGUUAAAAUUUACUAUAAAAAGAAUAUUNUAAAAAUGAAUUUAANUACCUUAGGGAUAACAGCAUAAUUANNNNNUUAGAUUGUGACCUCGAUGUUGGAUUAAGGCCU
rnacentral:rRNA from 1 species